GAUGAAGAACGCAGCGAAAUGCGAUAAGUAGUGUGAAUUGCAGAAUUCCGUGAAUCAUCGAAUCUUUGAACGCACCUUGCGCCUUUUGGUAUUCCGAAAGGCACACCUGUUUGAGCGUCAUGAAUACCUCAAUCUCCAUCUUUUCUUCGGAUUGAUGGGUGACUUGGAUGUUGAGCCCUGCUGGUAUGCUAUAUCAGCUGGCUUUAAACUUAUUAGCCGGCUCUGUACUGGAUCGGUUUGACUCGACGUGAUAAUAUUAUCGUUGAGGAUGCAUGUCUCAUGCAGCCGGAAAGUAUCAAAGCAGCUUCUAGCUUGCCUUUAGUGCACUUUUACAUUUUAGACCUCAGAUCAGGUGGGACUACCCGCUGAACUUAAGCAUAUCAAUAAGCGGAGGA
rnacentral:misc_RNA from 1 species